GAGAUGAACCCGGUACCUCAGAUGGAAAUGCAGAAAUCACCCAUCUUCUGCAUCGCUCACGCUGGUAGCUGUAGACCGGAGCUGUUCCUAUUCGGCCAUCUUGGCUCCUCCUCAAUUUUUGUAUAUAGUGAAAGAGUCUCCUGCAAUGAUUCAGACUUGGCUUUUCUGGCUUCUUCCAUAGAUAAGCACCAGCCUAGGAGCUCUCAAAGUUGUUCCAGCUAAAGGACACACUCAGCUUUUGGUCUACAGUGGCUUCCAGCCUAAGUGGCUCUGGACACUGCUGGAACCCCCCGCUCCAUCUCCCUCCAUAAAUAUGUCUCUGCAGCAGCUCGGUCAAGGAGUGUGAUGACUGGCGAGCAGAUGGCUGCCUUCCAUCCAUCGUCCACCCCCAACCCGCUGGAGAGGCCCAUCAAGAUGGGCUGGCUGAAGAAGCAGAGGUCCAUCGUGAAGAACUGGCAGCAGAGGUACUUUGUGCUGAGGGCGCAGCAGCUCUACUACUACAAGGAUGAAGAGGACACGAAGCCCCAGGGCUGCAUGUAUCUACCAGGAUGUACAAUCAAGGAGAUCGCCACAAACCCAGAA
rnacentral:sRNA from 1 species